UCGAAUUCUCAAAAGAAAUUGUGGUAUUGAAUGGAUUCCAUUCAGUUCUGUUUCACUCUACAUGUGACGCUGCAGAAACAAGAAAAAUUGUUCUAAACUUUUAAUACAUAUAAAGUUAGGUCCCAAUCCCUUAAAUUGUGGAGCAUUGUUGCUAAACAAUGUCCUAAACAAUUUCCCAAAUCCCUUAGGGUUUGUUUGGGAGUUGGAUUUUGGAGGGAAAAGAAGGAAAAUGAAAGGCUUGAGAGUCAUCUCACAAGUGUAUUUCAUGACUCCCAAACCUUCCAUUUUCCUUACUUCCCCUCCAAAACAAGCCCUUAAUUUGUUUAGCAUUGUUGCUAAACAAUGUCCCAAAUCCAGUGAUCAUAGUAUAGAGGUGAUAUCUCAAAUCUGAUACUACUGAGAUGGAAGAGAAAGUUGAAGAUAUCACAUUAUAGCAAGAAAAAUUGGAUCUAAGCAGACAAAAUAACCCACAUGCAGACAGAAAAAAAGUUAAAAAAGUUUCAUCAGAGCAAUCUUCCACUAAACAUAGCAAUAUAACGACAAUUAAGCUUUAUCCCACUAUGACAUCUCUGCUAUAUGGAUCAAAUGAUGCCAAAAUGAACGGUUGCUCAACUCAUCAACCAAACAAUUUGCACAAUCAUAGAAAUCAGAACCCCUUUCUGUCAGUGCCCUGUGAAGAAAACAAGAGUGGCAUGUAUAUUAAGUGCACCCGCACAUAGCUCUUGUUGCAGCUGAAAAGAUAUAUUUUUUUUUAAAAAACCAUGCAUGUCCAAUUAGCAACAAAGGAACCCAAUGAUGUACCCAAAAGAUCACAUUUAGCCAAGAAUCCUGCCAAAAGGUCAAUAACAUUAAUAAAGCACAGGCCAAAACAGAUAUCUAGCAAAUAAGAAACUAGGUGAAUUAGACAUUCAAUAAUUUACCGGCUCUACUACUUUUUAUCAAGGCCCUGAAACAGGAUAGCCAAAUGGAAUUCUACUUUUAAAACUUUUCUGAUUUCUCCCAAUGAUAAGAAGCAAACUCC
rnacentral:lncRNA from 1 species